rnacentral:piRNA from 2 species
UGCAAUUCUUCUGCCCUUGCAUCUUCCUCC